GAGAUGUGAUUCGUGUCGAUUGCUGGUAUGGAAGGCGCUGGGGUCUAUUCAGUUGGUGUCUGUCCAAGCGGUGGUAACCCAUUAACUCUCAGUGUAAACGUUGAGUGCCACAGUUCGGCCUUACGGCGCGAGGAUUUCGUUUGCGUGGGGAUUUUCGGCGACUUGCAUGUAGAUAACGAAAUGGAGACGAGGACGACAGCUACGAAUGCGGUCGUCCGUAUUCCGCGAGCAGUGCCUCCUUGGUCUGUAUCUCUAUGUUGCUUGAUGUCUGACUGCGCAGUUCUCGGUAAGUACGGAUCAUUCUUUGCUGAUACGCCUCGCAGCGCAGCCGUUAAAGAGUUUUCCGUGUUUAUGUGCGGGCAACGAAGAAGUUUAUGCGUGAUGUCAGUGCUUGCUGUGUUUAGCGAACUGUGGUUUACUUUAAUUCCUUAGAGGAUUUUCAUUUUCACUUACACUUCGGGAAAAGGUGAAAAAUUAGUUGCUUCAGCAUACUCCUAGCAGUUAAACUAGUUUGAAUAAAUGUUAAUUCGGGGUUUUUGACGGUUUGUGUAAUAAUUAAUUAGGGACACUUAGCUUCGUAGUUGCGCUCUGUAGUCAAAUGUCACAGAAUCUUCACUGCGUAGAAUACUUACUGGAAGGGUUCACUGCAGUUGGCAACGGUGUUGGAAGACGAGCACAAAGGGUGUCCCGUAAUUACAAGUAAAUAAUGGUGCGUAACGCGUUGAGCCGGUCACAGCUUCUACAAAUAGCGUGGCUGCGAGAACGUUUCAGUUCAUCGCGGAGUAGUGGGUACACACAGGGUAGCGUGAAGAUCCCCCACCCCAGUACGCUAUAAAACAGAUUUCACUUCAGUUAAUUAACGUAACUAUAUAAUUACCGUGCUGUGUAACUUGCCAAGCAUAGACCGAUAACUGCUGGCAUCUUGUUCAGCUUUUUGUCGAAAAGCUCUUGGAAACACGAAGUUUCGCCGCUCAUAUUCAGUGAAAUAGUUUUAUUAGAAUUUAUCCCACCGUGUCGCGAGUUUCCACAACUGUAGAAACUACAAAGGUAAAAAGGAAGCAUCACUCUUAAUAACCAAAAGGGUUGUGAUGUCUUAUCUCUCAUGAAGAGAUAAAGACGGGAGUGUAUUCCACCCACAACAUAAAAGUGAAAGCGCAGUGAAAUAAGUAAUAGAAGUCUCAAGUUCGUCUACGGACAAUGUGGGCUGUAUGUCCUUACAGUGUGUUUAAAAGAACUGCCGUAAGAGGACGAAGUAUGGUGAUAAAUCCUCGAAUCCGUGUGCCUCUUCCACUGUGAGGACGAAGCAGCAUUAAUAGUUAUUAACGGUUUCAUCAACCAUUCGAAGAAAGUUGGUGCAAUCAGGUUUUAAGAAAAUUUCCUUUCCGAGAGUUUGUGCUUUAAAUGUUAAGGAUCGCCGGCCUUAGUGGCCGUGCGGUUCUAGG